UGUUCACCUCAGACUGUUACAGGUGGUCGCUUGUUUAUGGUUACCUGUAGAAGGAGCAGGCGUUAUUGUGCUGCUGGUACAAACAGUUUUCACUCAGAGUUCAUAAAGUGUAAAGUAAACUAAUGUCCAGAGGAGCAGAGGACGGUUUACUCUGAGCUCGACAGGUCAGGUCUGAGACAGUCAGUGAAGGCGGACUGUUUGACAAUCAUGGAAGUGUCGUUACAGAGCAGCAGGACGGUCCAACUUUCCCUCUAACUCUUUAAACAAAUGUCCACAAUGGCGUCUGUCCUGGAGGAUCCGACCUUAGAGAGACACUUCAAGGGCCAUAAAGAUGCUGUCACCUGUGCAGACUUCAAUCCAAACCGCAAACAACUGGCCUCGGGAUCAGUUGAUAAGAGCCUGAUGAUCUGGAAUCUGGCUCCAAAGGCGAGGGCUUUCCGCUACGUCGGCCAUCAGGACGUCAUCACAGGGGCGCAGUUCUCCCCGUCUGGUAACCUGGUGGCCACUUCCUCCAAGGACAGAACAGUCCGACUGUGGACUCCUUCCAUGAAAGGAGAGUCAACAGUGUUCAAAGCUCACACAGCGGCUGUUCGCAGUGUUGCUUUCUCCCACGAUGGACAGAGACUGGUGACGGCGUCUGACGACAAGUCUGUCAAAGUGUGGAGCGUUCAGCGGCAGUGCUUCGUCUUCUCUCUCAACCAGCACACCAACUGGGUGCGCUGUGCCAGGUUUUCUCCAGAUGGACGUUUGAUAGCGUCCUGCGGAGACGACCGCACCGUCCGGCUUUGGGACACGUCCACCAAAAACUGCAUCAACUGUUUCACUGACUAUGGAGAAUCAGCAACGUUUGUUGGUUUUAACUCCAGUGGCACCUGUAUCGCUUCUUCAGGAGCCGACAGUUCACUGAAAAUCUGGGAUCUAAGGACCAACAAACUGAUUCAGCAUUAUCAAGUCCACAGUGCAGGAAUCAACAGCUUUUCCUUCCACCCGUCCAACAACUACCUGAUCAGCGGCUCCAGUGACGGCACCAUUAAGAUCCUGGACCUGCUGGAGGGACGCCUCAUCUACACCCUCCAUGGACACAAGGGCGCUGUAAUAACAGUAGCUUUCUCCAGGACAGGAGACCUGUUUGCCUCGGGGGGAGCUGAUGGUCAGGUGCUGAUGUGGAGGACAAACUUUGACACCAAAUCCUACAGAGACAUCCUGCAACAACACAGCCGGAGGUCCUCCCCGGACCCCCCGCCCCACCUUACUGACAUCCACCCCAGAGGACCCCACCUUCACCACCCGCAGCCCUCAGCCAUUCAGAUCAGUCCCAUCGUGGCAGACACUCAGUCCACUGAUCCACAUGUCAUAGAGUUGGGCCAGUCCGUUCACAGCACCACGCUCUUAAACGGUCGAACACACUCGACGCCCACGCGGGCCACCACCAACAGUCACCACUCCAACGGUUUGCCGGCACGUCACGUAGCCAGUUCAAGAGUGGGAGGAUGGGUGGGAGACGAAAGUACCAGCGGGGCAGGUGUGGGUACUUGGAGCCAGACCAGAGCUGGCGGGGGAGGAAGAGGAAGGAGAGAGGAGGAGGAAGAGGAGAGAGGGCAGACGCAUCCAUUGGAAGUUCUCUCAGGUCAUCCAUCGAGUCUGGACUCGACGCUGCAGCACAUUGUUAAACAGCUGGAUAUUCUAACACAGACUGUUUCAGUGCUGGAGGAGCGUCUCACCCUGACCGAGGACAAGCUGAAGGAGUGUCUCCUCCACCAGUCCCACAUCCUCAAGGACAUCCGAACGUCAGGAGAGAGGCGGAGGAUGGAGAGCGAGGAGACGGACUGAUCACCUGUCCAUUUCACUUGAGGACGACCUCGCCCUCCCUCAGACUGCAGCACAAACACACAGACUGAGUUUAACCCCGACACCGCCAGACGGACAAAGGCUGAAGAAAACUUCUUACGCUGUGUUCUCAACUCAACAGCGUGAUCAACUGCAUUUGUCGCCAUUGAAGUGUCGCUUAAGCGCUCGUUAAUCAGUUACAUCAUCAUGGCCUUGUGUGUGUCUGCUACUCGCCACGAAGCACCUCGACUCAGCGUCAUCUGAAGUUUAUUUGAUGGGACGUUGAUAGAGUGAAAGGUGGAGAUUGAGGGGGUGACACGCAGCGAAGCACCACCGCCUUUGUACUCAAGGCACCAGCUCUACCAGUGGACCUUUUCACCAUCACCUUCGUCUGCACCGAGUCAAGCCAUGCCGUGCCGAUUUGCAUCUCCACCAUCAGUUUAGAGGGACCGUGCCACGCCAAGCUGCGCCAGAGAUGGGCCUUCUCCGGAGUCGUUCCAAAAGCCAGGCCACCCGCCCUCAAGCACGACCCCGCCUCUCCCUGUGAAACAAGCAUGUGUGCUGCAAGACUCACCUGCGUCCUGUUUUUACUGUAGAUAUCUGCUUUAUUUUAAUGUUUCAUAUCCGCUACCAGCCAUAUAAGUCGUGUUAAGUUACUGCUGAAAACCCCAAAAUGUGGGACUUUUAUUGUGAAGAAUCUACAGGAAAUGAAUUAGCAGAACUUUGUUAGCAGCUCCUCUUCAAUAAAGCAAAUCUAAUUACACCGCAGGGAGGAAGAGUAAAAGCAGAAACUGCCACAGUGAGAUGAUGAUGAGUAGCUGCACACAAACAGCUCACCUCCAACAGGUAAACUUCUUUUACCUGCCCUGCUGUGGAAAAGCAAAAAUAACGGGACUUUGAGCAUUGAUCAGCCCGCUGCUUUUAAACGUCAUCACCCAAGACGAGCCAUCAUCGGGUAAAGACACACCUUUAAGUGGGUAGACCUGUUGUACUGGAGAUGCAAAUCCCUACUGCGCCAGGUGACGGCCCAAACCAAACCAAGCCAAACCAAGUCGGCCCAUGACUGUCAAAAAUGGGUACAGGUGAGCCAGUUGUGAUGUUAUGUUAUGUGAUGUGCUGUGUGUAUUUCAGCUGUUUAAAGUAAGAUUAACUUUAUUUCUCAUAACUCUGACCUGGUAAAUUUGGCUUUUUACUGAUCAUAAUUUUGUCUCAUUGCCUCAUAACUGAAAGUAAAGGGCAACAUAAAGAGCAACAAAUAGUUGUAUCUUAACUGGCAGUUUACCCUGAUUAUUUUAAUUUUGUUCUCCCUUAUCUGUCAUUUGUUUUGGCAGUAUUGGGCCUCCAUAAAGCCGUGUCACUGCUGUUAUCUGCUAAAGCCUGUUCAUGUGAUACGUGUCAUUGUGCCUCUUGUCUCCGUCAGUGACUGUGAAGUAUUUUGGCUUGCUCUCGCCCAGCAUGGAGACUUUAGCUGUUUAUGUUGUUCCAGCGGCAGAGAUGUGGUGAGCGAUGCGGCCGGGUCGGGAGGAAGCAGUAAAAAAGCCACACAAAGGGGGAGCUCUCCGCUGGCUGCAGUUUGCUCUCCCCACCACAUCCUUCGCUUCCUCUUUACUGGUUUUUCUUCUCCUGCAUCUUUUUCUCUCUCCCAGUUACUUAAAGUGGGACGGCCUGCUGAGACAGGAGCGUGACUCCAGUUCACCCACUGCAGGACCUGGACCUGAGGUUACAUGCAACAUUAAAAAGACAAGUUACAUAAAUGGGUGAAGUACAAAAACUGAAACCUUAAUUUCAAAUCAAAAAUCUGAAUAAGUUAAGACCGACAUCUGCCUGUGUCUAUGUCUGUCCUGGUCUAUAGACACAGUUUUACAGAGCACAUUCACAUUUUCUUCUUAUUCUUGGGAGAUUCUCACAUUGAAAAAAAUCUGUGCAGGCAAGGAGCUGCUAGACAAGAACUUCAUCUCAGUUUCUAAACACUUUCUAAGCGUUAUAUCCCAAAAUCAAAACAGAGUUAUGUUUCUAAAUAUGCAUCAAAUAUAUAUGAUCAAAAAGUUGGGGAUUGGACUUUUAACACUCAUAAAACGGCAGCUGUUAGUAAUAAAUCU